CCGCCAGCGCAGAGCCAUAGAGCGGCAAGCACUCGACCAUAGAGAAGCGGCGCCCGGAGCGCCCCCGUCCCACCGUAGAGCCGCUCUAGCCGCAUCUCGGUGGUCUCCCCUCAGGCGGAGGCGGACCCCGGGCUCGGUACCCGGCAAGGCGGAGCGGCGGCGGCCCGCGCCGUGUGCCCCCAGAGCCCGCUCAUGGGGAGCUGGAGCCCCUCGCUGUGCGGAGAUGGGGAGCUCAGGCCCACCCGUGGCACCCGCGGGUGCUGCCCUGCAGCGGGGGCUCGGCGCGGCGCGGGGUCACCCCGGGACAAGAUUCCCACUAAAUGAGCAACGUGGAGUCACUUUCCUUUCCCCGUGUGAAAAACCAGCGCAGAUCCCUGUCAAACACGGAAGUUCUGCUGCUGGAUCUACCCAGAACGUCUCCAGAAACACGCGGAUCUUGGCAGGAGGCUCCUGUUGUGCCACGUCACCGCGUGUGUCACCCGCUGAGCAAACAUUCCUGGAGUGCUGUCCCCUGAGCCAAGGGCUGCCCGGUGCCCCAGGAGGGACAGGAUGACCCCAUCCACAGGGGUGUCUCCCGUGAGCCGCAGAGCUGGUGCUGCGGGAUGGUCACAGCAGGAUUCCAGCUCAGCCCGAGCCUCGGGGGAGCAGCUCCAUGCUCAGGUUACUCACUGGCAUGACACGAUAACCCUUAAAGACAAACCACCUCAGAAUAAACUACUGUUUCUAGGAAAGAGAAUGGAGACAAACCCUAUUGAGGGACAUUAAAACAUACAGUAAAUUCCAAGGAUGUACUUGGGCGCAUCAUGGCUUGCUCAAGAUGGGACGAGCAGCUUAUCCUUGUCAUUCCAUGACGGUAAGGACAAUCCUUGUCAUUCAGAUCGGCUUUAUUCUCACUGAGUUCCUUGUCAUUUGAGUUAAAAGAUGCUCCUCAUUUUCUUUGGGGCGUAAAUGAUCAUUUUAGGACAAAGGAGCACAGAAAACAUGGUGGAGUUCAUUAAAAUGUACCCCGGUGUUGUCGAGUCCGACACCAGCAUCAUUCAACAUCAUCUGUGCUGUCAAAUAAAUGAAGUAAUAGGUUUGAUAAGUAUUUUGGAAAACAGAUAAAUGAAUUUGGCUACAACAGGUAACACUUCCUCCUAAAGAGACCCGUUUAUCCCACUCCAGAGUAGAGCAGAUAAUAUAGAUCUCUCUGAUAAUCAACGUUAAAGUGUGUUUGGUGGGGUGGUAUUAAAUAAUGAGGAAUGGCUGAGGUUGGUGGCUGUAAUCGCUGCAGGAAAUGUUCCCCCCUCCCCUCCUCUGGAAUUAAUGAUACUGUUGAAAAUGU